AUGAACGCUAGCGACAGGCUUAACACAUGCAAGUCGAGGGGCAGCGGGGGUAGCAAUACCCGCCGGCGACCGGCGCACGGGUGAGUAACGCGUAUGCAACUUACCUAUCAGAGGGGGAUAACCCGGCGAAAGUCGGACUAAUACCGCAUGAAGCAGGGGCCCCGCAUGGGGAUAUUUGCUAAAGAUUCAUCGCUGAUAGAUAGGCAUGCGUUCCAUUAGGCAGUUGGCGGGGUAACGGCCCACCAAACCGACGAUGGAUAGGGGUUCUGAGAGGAAGGUCCCCCACAUUGGUACUGAGACACGGACCAAACUCCUACGGGAGGCAGCAGUGAGGAAUAUUGGUCAAUGGGCGCGAGCCUGAACCAGCCAAGUCGCGUGAGGGAUGAAGGUUCUAUGGAUCGUAAACCUCUUUUAUAAGGGAAUAAAGUGCGGGACGUGUCCCGUUUUGUAUGUACCUUAUGAAUAAGGAUCGGCUAACUCCGUGCCAGCAGCCGCGGUAAUACGGAGGAUCCGAGCGUUAUCCGGAUUUAUUGGGUUUAAAGGGUGCGUAGGCGGCCUUUUAAGUCAGCGGUGAAAGUCUGUGGCUCAACCAUAGAAUUGCCGUUGAAACUGGGGGGCUUGAGUAUGUUUGAGGCAGGCGGAAUGCGUGGUGUAGCGGUGAAAUGCUUAGAUAUCACGCAGAACCCCGAUUGCGAAGGCAGCCUGCCAAGCCAUGACUGACGCUGAUGCACGAAAGCGUGGGGAUCAAACAGGAUUAGAUACCCUGGUAGUCCACGCAGUAAACGAUGAUCACUAGCUGUUUGCGAUACAGUGUAAGCGGCACAGCGAAAGCGUUAAGUGAUCCACCUGGGGAGUACGCCGGCAACGGUGAAACUCAAAGGAAUUGACGGGGGCCCGCACAAGCGGAGGAACAUGUGGUUUAAUUCGAUGAUACGCGAGGAACCUUACCCGGGUUUGAACGCAUUCGGACCGAGGUGGAAACACCUUUUCUAGCAAUAGCCGUUUGCGAGGUGCUGCAUGGUUGUCGUCAGCUCGUGCCGUGAGGUGUCGGCUUAAGUGCCAUAACGAGCGCAACCCUUGCCACUAGUUACUAACAGGUGAUGCUGAGGACUCUGGUGGGACUGCCAGCGUAAGCUGCGAGGAAGGCGGGGAUGACGUCAAAUCAGCACGGCCCUUACAUCCGGGGCGACACACGUGUUACAAUGGCGUGGACAAAGGGAAGCCACCUGGCGACAGGGAGCGAAUCCCCAAACCACGUCUCAGUUCGGAUCGGAGUCUGCAACCCGACUCCGUGAAGCUGGAUUCGCUAGUAAUCGCGCAUCAGCCAUGGCGCGGUGAAUACGUUCCCGGGCCUUGUACACACCGCCCGUCAAGCCAUGGGAGCCGGGGGUACCUGAAGUCCGUAACCGCGAGGAUCGGCCUAGGGUAAAACUGGUGACUGGGGCU
rnacentral:rRNA from 1 species